UCCUGGCCUGGCACUCACAGGACACGUCGAACUGGAUGGUCCUCUCUGUGCUCACGUUAGCUCCAGGGAAGGUCACUCGACAGCUGAAAUUUGGAAUCCUGAGACUGGGACCCUGUGGGGAAUCAAGGGUCAGUGGCAGCCCCUGCCCGCCCGGUCCUCUCGCCCCCGGCCCCGUCCUCUCGCCUUGGCCCACUCACCUGCACACAGCAGCAGCAGCAGCAGCAGCAGCAGCAAUGGUGGCAUCUGUGGGAUGGUUGGCUCAUGUCACCCAGCUUGACAUUAACAUAAACAGAAGUCUGACUCAGCUGUCCCUCCUGGAUGUAAGGCAGAGAGAGUUAGGCCACAGACAUUUUUUUCACGCCACGCCAAAAUCCUCCAUUUGUUUUUAGGAGGAAGAUUAAAAAUUCCUGCUUGGGGGCGCCUGGGUGGCGCAGUCGGUUAAGCGUCCGACUUCAGCCAGGUCACGAUCUCGUGCU